GAUGGCCACCUGGGCCAGUUAUUUGAAAUCCUACCCAAUAAUGGGCUUUAUCUGAUGAAAGCUAUUGUAACUCACAGGCAACAAAUCCAACAAAUGCAAGAACAGCUGUUGGAGGCAGAGCUGACCUUCAGACACUAGGUAACCUGAGCUCUGCCCACUGUGCUGAACCCUUGGAAUCUCCUGCAGGGGACAGCAGUGGCUCAUCGAGUCCUUAACCAUGGGCUUUUGGUGUGCUGGCUUUUUCAGAUUGCAGUUCAUGAGAAGAAUGCUCAAGACAACUGGGUAAGUGGUUGCUUUUUUGUCCUCUUUGGUGCACAGUCUGGCGCAACUGAAGGUGGAGGUGUUUUUCUCCCCCAGGUCAAGGCUCGGAUUUGGGAGAGGGAGAUAGCGCAGUAAAGCAGGAAGAAAGCCUACUUGAAACACAGGUACGGGAGGUUGACAGACGUUAUUAUGGGCAUUUGUGGGAGGACGUCUAUGUUGUUUAGUGUCAGGAGAGUUGGUGGUGUUGUGAUUCUUAUAGAUAUCCAUUAUCUGUUCAAGACUGGGCAUACUGGAAGGAAAGAUGCUGCCUGAGAGACACAGGAGACAGGAGCUGAUUCCGGGAAGACCUGAGAUCCAGAACCCUCCAGGGAGAGAUUCAGAAUCUAGACCAGUUCCUGAGAUGAACAGCACUACCGUCCCUAAGAAGGACCCGGAGAUGGCUAAGGUAAAUGCUGUUGGUGUUUUCAGUUGUAGCCAUUUCUGGAAGAUUAUUCCUUUUUGGACAGCACCCUGUUCUGGCCUAGUGUCUGUUCAGUGUGUCUUGUGAUCUGUCUGAGGCAUGUUUGCCUUUCAAAAUGCAAGCUGUUUACCCAGGAGCCUACAGCCUUCUCCAUUAGAGAUCCUCACCUUAGGUGUUGACUCCCAAAGUCACAGAUGCUUAGAGAUGAAUGAUGGCAGGUCACACACCAUGUGUGUGUGUGUGUGUGUGUGUGUGUGUGUGUGUGUUUGUGUAAUAACUUGAGGAUGGUGACUCCUCUCUCUGCACUAAAGUCUGCCUGUCUAGCUGCCUCUUUGCUGUUUGCUUUCAUGUGGAAGUGGUAGAGUUGCUGGGUUUUGGGUCAGGAGACUAACCUGGGGGUAUGUCUGCAGUAAUCAUCACAGAUGGAAAAUGAGAAAAACCAUGCGCUGCCUGGUACUCUGUGCUAUGUGCUUUGGACAAAUUUGAGUGUUGGUAGAGAAGGUUUGCUACCUCAUGUGCAUUCCAUCCACUGGGUAAGGACACGACCCACAAUACCUUCAGGUGAGUCUUGGGUGAGAUGAUCUGCCGGGUGACACAGGUGUAGUAGCAAAUGUCCACGGGACCAGCAGCCAUGAAGAAGGAAUACCAGUAACGACCUGCAGGGCCAACCCCUCACCCAUGGUUUCUGUUGUGUGCCUAUGAACGGGUUCUCCUGUGGUUUGGGUGGCUGUGCCAGCUGACAGGUUCUCCCCUGACCCACCAUUGGAGUUUCACACCUACUCUCCAGACACAUUUGUUUGCAUCCAGUGAUAUAGAAUCAGCUCCUCAGCAGUCCACGGCACCAAAGGACUCUACAUUUGCUCCAUGCCUAAGCUAAGGAGCAUUCUGGCUGAUGGUGAUUCAGAUCCACGGAGCUAGUUCUUAGUAACUCUUAGGGAUCGUGCUUCUCUCAGAAAACACUUUUCCAGGUCCCCUGUAGGACUCCAAAAAUUUGCAUCUCUUCAGGGGUAUCUGUGGCCAUGAAUAGCACUGUGGGCAGUAGAGGACCCCUUGUCAGGGAGGGAAGCAGGGUGGUGUCAGGAGGGGGCUGGCAGCAGCAGUUUAACCCAUGAGUGGCUAUGAUUCUAUUUGUGGACACUGGGCUUCCCAUUGCCUUUCACUGUGUUUGUUCUUACUGAGUAUACAUAACCCUCCGUGGCUGCUCUGGAUGUGGGGAACAGAGUGGGCCUGGCCACAAAUUCCUGUCUGUCUGGAAUAUGCUCCUUUUGGGUUGAAUGUCAUGGCCUCUGUUCAACUGGUAGGACAAGAUACCUUGACAUCCUGCCUUCUGAGAGAUGGUUGGUGAUGUGUGGUAAUAUUAAGUUCUUUCCUUUGGCAUUUUUCCCCUGCCCCUGAACUAUGUAGUUGCAUCAAGUGGGAGGCCUAGGGUUCUUGGCCCUGGUGCUCUGCUCUCCUGGAAGCUGAGGGUGAAUAAAGGGCUAGGUGCUGACA
ensembl:lncRNA